AUAUCUCUCUGUACGGGAAGGAUGAGAAGCUUCGACUAAGGUUCGAUUCGAGCGAAAGCGAGAAAGCGUUGCCGCAGGCAACGACCCGAAGGGCGAAGCGCGUAGCGCUGAGUCAUCCUUCCCCCACCACCA
rnacentral:sRNA from 1 species